rnacentral:rRNA from 1 species
UACAGAGGGUGCAAGCGUUGCUCGGAAUCAUUGGGCGUAAAGCGCGUGUAGGCGGUCUUCUAAGUCUGGUGUGAAAGCCCAGGGCUCAACCCUGGAAGUGCACUGGAUACUGGAAGACUAGAGGGUAAGAGGGGAGAUUGGAAUUCCUGGUGUAGGGGUGAAAUCCGUAGAUAUCAGGAGGAACAUCGGUGGCGAAGGCGAAUCUCUGGCUUAUUUCUGACGCUGAGACGCGAAAGCGUGGGGAGCAAACAGG